rnacentral:rRNA from 1 species
AUGGACGUAUCCAUCCUUCUGCUCCCGCUCCUCAUCCUCUGCUCCCUCCCGUCGCUCGCCUCCGCCUGCGACCGCUACGCGCACCGCUCCAGAGCCGCCUACUACACCUCCUCGCUCACCCUCGCCGCCGGUUCCUGCGGGUACGGCACAGCGGCCGCGUCCCUCAACGGCGGCCUGCUCGCCGCGGCGGGCCCGGCCCUGUACAGGCAAGGCGUCGGCUGCGGCGCGUGCUUCCAGGUGCGCUGCAAGGACGAAGAGCUCUGCGGCACCGCCGGCGUGAGGGUCGUCGUCACGGACCGCGCGAGGACGAAGGAGAACGGCACGGACCUCGUGCUCAGCGGCCCGGCGUUCGCCGCCAUGGCCCGCCCCGGCAUGGCCGCGCGGCUCGCCAAGCUCGGCGCCGUCGACGUCGAGUACAAGAGGGUGCCGUGCGAGUACAAGGGCAAGAACCUCUCGCUGCGGGUGGAGCAGAGGAGCCGCGCGCCGAACGAGCUGGCCGUCACGAUCCUCUACCAGGGCGGCCAGACCGACAUCGUCGCCGUCGACGUCGCGCAGGUCGGAUCGUCGUCGAGCUGGAGGUCCCUGACGCGUGACCACGGGCCGACGUGGAGCACGAGCCUGGCGCCGCCGGGGCCGCUGCAGCUCAGGGCGGUGGUGACCGGCGGGUACGACGGGAAGUGGGUGUGGGCCGACCGGGAGGUCCUGCCGCGCCAGUGGCGCGCCGGCGAGGUCUACGACACCGGCGUGCAGAUCACCGACAUCGCCCAAGAAGCCUGCUUCCCCUGCGACACGCAGGAGUGGAGGUGA